UGGGGAAUAUUGGACAAUUGGCGAAAGCCUGAUCCAGCCAUGCCGCGUGUGUGAAGAAGGUCUUCGGAUUGUAAAGCACUUUAAGUUUGGAGGAAGGGCAGUAAGCGAAUACCUUGCUGUUUUGACGUUACCGACAGAAUAAGCACCGGCUAACUCUGUGCCAGCAGCCGCGGUAAUACAGAGGGUGCAAGCGUUAAUCGGAAUUACUGGGCGUAAAGCGCGCGUAGGUGGUUCGUUAAGUUGAAUGUGAAAGCCCCGGGCUCAACCUGGGAACUGCAUCCAAAACUGGCGAGCUAGAGUAGGGCAGAGGGUGGUGGAAUUUCCUGUGUAGCGGUGAAAUGCGUAGAUAUAGGAAGGAACACCAGUGGCGAAGGCGACCACCUGGGCUCAUACUGACACUGAGGUGCGAAAGCGUGGGGAGCAAACAGG
rnacentral:rRNA from 1 species